rnacentral:tRNA from 1 species
UUCCUGGUGGUCCAGUGGUUAAGACCCUGCAUUUCCACUGCAGGGGUUUUAAGUUCAGUUCUUCCUCAGGAAC